rnacentral:rRNA from 1 species
CCCAGACUCCUACGGGAGGCAGCAGUGGGGAAUAUUGCACAAUGGGCGAAAGCCUGAUGCAGCAACGCCGCGUGAAGGAAGAAGGGUUUCGGCUCGUAAACUUCUAUCAACAGGGACGAAAGAAAUGACGGUACCUGAAUAAGAAGCCCCGGCUAACUACGUGCCAGCAGCCGCGGUAAUACGUAGGGGGCAAGCGUUAUCCGGAAUUACUGGGUGUAAAGGGUGAGUAGGCGGCAUGGUAAGCCAGAUGUGAAAGCCUUGGGCUUAACCCGAGGAUUGCAUUUGGAACUAUCAAGCUAGAGUACAGGAGAGGAAAGCGGAAUUCCUAGUGUAGCGGUGAAAUGCAUAGAUAUCACGCAGAACUCCGAUUGCGAAGGCAGCGCACCGGCGCCCUACUGACGCUCAGGCACGAAAGCGUGGGUAUCGAACAGGAUUAGAUACCCGCGUAA